AUGUUCUCUGACUUCAUCUGCCCUGCUCUUGACCCAGGAGGCUGGCCUCUGCAGGUUCAUCUCCUGGCUUGCCAGCUGGCUUCUAGCUCCACUUGCUCAGUGAGAGGCCCAGGUGAGAGGGUAGGAAGGGAAGAAGGUCGGUGUCUAUCUUCUAAGCCCCGUGCUUCUGCAGUGUGUCUUGGAACCCAAUUACUUCAAACUGUGGCUACAUGGCUUCUGCCAAGCAGCCCUUCACCUGGGGUUCCAGCUCCAGUUAGGCUGGGCCCUGUUGGUAAUGGCCUCCUAUCAUUAAACCACUGGUGCCUCAGCCACUCUAGCUUUUCCUGAAUCCUGCCUUUAUCUACGUCAUAUCGUUACGUCCUUUUUCAUUAAGAUCAUCUGAAAUAAAUCCUUUCCCGCCAGGGCCCAGAUAGAUAAACCUCUGGAUGUUCAGGUCUCUUGUGUCGUCACGGAGCAUCGUGCCAUCAGCACCAGGGAAGCCUUCUUAUCUCUUCAGGCAGGUACAGUCCCCAGUCACAUGACCACAGGUUAGGCAGUCUCAACCUGGCAGCUCCUCAGAAUCACUAGAUUUCAGAACCCAAAUUAUUAUAUGAAACUCUUCUGGGGUGGGGUCCUACAGUUUCUACUUUUAAAAAAGAUCCAUGGAACAAGAAUGGCAAGAUAGUGGUAACUGCUCAGCUUGGGUGAUCAGUACCCGGGGUUCAUUAUACCAUUUUUUCUACUUCUGUGUAUGUUUGAAAAUUUUCACUAUAAAAAAGAUUUAGGUAUGUAAGCUUCUUCACUGAGAAUUUCUGAUUCAAAGCAGGGAUUGGAAAUUUUGUUUUGCUCGUCUCAUCAUUCCCUAUUUCCACUGGCCCCAUCACCCCAUGAUAGGCUCUCCAUCUGUGUAAACAACGAGAUGAGACAAAGAGAUCCAGCAUCUUUCGUUCACUGUAGUCCUAGGUACCAGAGACACCAGACCCCAGUCCCUACCCCUACAGGAUUCUUUUAUAGAUUGGGGUUGAGCAGAUUUGGCCAAACAUCUUCAGUUCAGUUCAGUUCAGUCGCUCAGUCAUGUCCGACUCUUU
rnacentral:lncRNA from 1 species